AAAUCUGGCACUAAGUGCAAGAGUUUGCUUUCCUAGACUAGAGAGAUCUGGGUCUGUCACCCCUGAAAGGGUCUGAGCCCCCUUCAUGGGAGGCCCAUCCAGACCCUGGCCCUGCCUGCAUUAAUGAGUCCCAGUCCUAUUCAUUUCAAAGUGGUGGAUCCCACAUGCAGUACCAGAUGCCAGCACUCUGGAGAGAUCCAGAGAUACUCAGCACAUUCAGAUUGAUUGAGAUCAUCACUUAGGACAUUUUGGAUGAUGGAAAGCCCGUGUCUCUGUCACCGCUGGAGUCCCAGGCACACAGCCCCAGGUACACGGCCUCCAGCCAGCGGGAGCGCGAGAGCCUGGAGGUGCGCAUGCGCGAGGUGGAGGAGGAGAACCGCGCCCUCCGCAGGCAGCUCAGCCUGGCCCAGGGCCGAGCCCCAUCCCAUCGCCGAGGCAACCACUCCAAGACCUACUCCAUGGAGGAGGGCACUGGAGACAGCGAGAACCUUCGGGCUGGCAUCGUGGCAGGCAACAGCUCCGAGUGUGGGCAGCAGCCGGUCGUGGAGA
rnacentral:lncRNA from 1 species